rnacentral:lncRNA from 1 species
AGCCUUCUGUUUCUUGACCUCACCUCGUCACUCUGUGUUGCCCAGUGCUGUGGACUCCUGAGACUGGUGUCUGCCAAACUCUGAGAUCCAUACAUUUCUUAUUUAGGAGUUAAAAGGGAGGUUUAUUCUGAAUUUAUGAGCAUUAUUUUAUAUUGAUUGUUUGAAAAGUGUGUCAGUUGUUCGUAUUCCCCCACAAAUGAUAACACAUAAGUUUGGUUUUGUUUUCCUAAUUGCUAAUAAGGUUUAGCACUUUUCUAUCAUCAUUGGCUAUUAUAAUUUUCUUUUUUUACAAAGGAUCUGCUCAAGUCUUUCACUCAUUUGUAUUUCUUUUCUUAUUGAUUCAUAGGGCAUCUUGAAAUAUUCUGGAUACGAGCCUGUUACUUAUAUAUUCUGUCUUGUUUCAUAGGAUGCUGGAUCCCUUUCUAGCCCUAAUAUUACUAUAAAAUACUUUCUUUCCCUCUCUUAUUUUGUUAUAUUAUUAUUUUUGAAUCUUUCAUUUGUUCCCCUCAGUUUAGGAGAGGGUGAUUGCAUAAGCCUAGAAUUCCACCAAGAGUUGGAAGAUGCAUUUUUAAUCUGCAGUUUAGUAAAUUACAGAGUGCUUUUUAUUCUAUUAAGAGCUUCUGUUGGGAAUUAUUUGAUUAACAAACUAAAUAAUUUUAAAUUGUGAAAACUGUGAAUAUUAUUAAUUGUGCUUAUCACAUUUUCAGGCUCGUCUCAAGGAACUGGAGCAGCAAGCCCAUUUUAUUGCAGGAGAACGGUUUCUUAUAAUGAGUAAUAAUCAACUUCGAGAAGUAAUGCUAAAUUUUGAUUCUUUCAAAAAUAGUUUCUUUUUUUGAGGUGGGCAGGGGGAAGUACCAGGGAUUGAACUCAGGCACUCAACCACUGAGCCACAUCCCCAGCCCUAUUUUGUAUUUUACUUAGAGACAGGUUCUCACUGAGUUCCUUAGCACCUCACUUUUGCUGAGGCUGGCUUUGAACUCAAGAUUCUCCUGCCUCAGCCUCUGAGCUGCUGGGAUUACAGAUGUGUCAAAAAUGUUUCUUAUUCAGGAGUUAAGAGAGGUUUCUUCUGAAUUUAUAAAUGUUAUUUCAUAUUGAUUAUCUGAAAAAUAAGUUGUUUAUAUUCUUUCAUGAGUGAUGAAUAUUGAGAUUCCUAACUUCAAAACCUUUAUAUCCAAGAAGAGCACUAAAUGAGAAAUUAAGCAUCAUUUAGAUGUGACUCCUUUGGUUAGUGGUUUUAAAUGUAAUAGUGAUGUUUGUUUCUUCCAAUCUGAAACUCUCCCACACACCUGCAUUGCAUUGUUGAAGAUCCUCUUUGGAAAGUUGAAGCUACACCUGCUGAGUCCAAGGAAGAGCCUUCCCAAAACAGGGCCACAGCAAC